UACAGAGGUCUCAAGCGUUGUUCGGAUUCAUUGGGCGUAAAGGGUGCGUAGGCGGCGCGGUAAGUCGGGUGUGAAAUUUCGGAGCUUAACUCCGAAACUGCAUUUGAUACUGCGGUGCUUGAGGACUGGAGAGGAGACUGGAAUUCAUGGUGUAGCAGUGAAAUGCGUAGAGAUCAUGAGGAAGACCAGUGGCGAAGGCGGGUCUCUGGACAGUUCCUGACACUGAGGCACGAAGGCCAGGGGAGCAAACGGG
rnacentral:rRNA from 1 species